rnacentral:rRNA from 1 species
AUUGAACGCUGGCGGCAGGCCUAACACAUGCAAGUCGAACGGUAACAGGGAUCAGCUUGCUGAUUCGCUGACGAGUGGCGGACGGGUGAGUAAUGUCUGGGAAACUGCCUGAUGGAGGGGGAUAACUACUGGAAACGGUAGCUAAUACCGCAUAACGUCGCAAGACCAAAGAGGGGGACCUUCGGGCCUCUUGCCAUCGGAUGUGCCCAGAUGGGAUUAGCUAGUAGGUGGGGUAACGGCUCACCUAGGCGACGAUCCCUAGCUGGUCUGAGAGGAUGACCAGCCACACUGGAACUGAGACACGGUCCAGACUCCUACGGGAGGCAGCAGUGGGGAAUAUUGCACAAUGGGCGCAAGCCUGAUGCAGCCAUGCCGCGUGUAUGAAGAAGGCCUUCGGGUUGUAAAGUACUUUCAGCGGGGAGGAAGGGAGUAAAGUUAAUACCUUUGCUCAUUGAUGUUACCCGCAGAAGAAGCACCGGCUAACUCCGUG